CCUCCAUUUUCAUCAUACACAAUCUACCACAUUUAUUUUAUUUGCACUCUGCCCCCUAAAUUUUUACCAUUUUACCAUUUUCACCACCACCCACUUCAAAAAGACAAAAAACCAGCCUCGCCUCGUUCCCUUUCAUCUUUCGUAUUCCCCAUUCACGCGCCACCGCAGUUUCCACCUCCACACCGAACCACGAACCACGAACCACCUCUCUAUCUUUUCAUAUUACUUUUUCCUUUUCUACCCCCGGCUCCGAUUCCGGGGUGUGGUCCCCAUUUAACCUUUUUUUCUUCUUUUGCUGCUACGAGUCGUUGUCGUCAUGGGCGAUCUUCAUCUAAACGGUGUCGUUUUCGGGGAGGAUCGCCCUUACUCCUCGUCACCGCCUUCGCCGCCGCUUCCUGCUUUGAAUCUCGAUCCUUCGUCUGUUACGGAGGAGGGAUGGACGGCGGCUGAGGAAACGACGGGGGAGAUUCUCCGCCGGAUUCAACCUAAUCUCGCUGCUGAUAGGAGGAGGAGAGAGGUUGUUGAUUAUGUUCAGAGAUUAAUACGUUUCGGUGCUCGCUGCGAGGUCUUUCCAUAUGGUUCAGUUCCAUUAAAAACUUAUCUUCCGGAUGGAGAUAUUGAUCUGACGGCGCUUAGUUGUCAAAACAUUGAGGAUGGCUUGGUAUCUGAUGUUCAUGCUGUUCUUCGGGGAGAGGAAAACAAUGAAGCUGCUGAAUAUGAAGUAAAGGAUGUUCGUUUCAUUGAUGCAGAGGUUAAGCUUGUAAAAUGUCUUGUACAGAAUAUUGUUGUAGACAUCUCUUUCAAUCAGUUAGGAGGACUCAGUACACUAUGUUUUCUUGAGAAGGUUGACCGUCUUGUAGCCAAGGAUCAUAUAUUCAAACGUAGUAUUAUCCUGAUAAAAGCUUGGUGCUACUAUGAGAGUCGUAUUCUUGGUGCCCACCACGGGCUGAUCUCUACAUAUGCUUUGGAAACACUGGUUUUGUAUAUUUUCCAUCGAUUUCAUGUGACCUUAGAUGGUCCUCUCGCAGUUCUCUACAGAUUUUUGGACUACUUCAGCAAAUUUGAUUGGGACAAUUAUUGUGUAAGUUUGAAGGGACCAGUUGGCAAAUCAUCUUUGUCAGAUGUAGUAGCUGAGGCACAGGAAAAUGGGGGGAAUACUCUGCUGACUGAAGAAUUCAUUAGAAGCUGUGUUGAAUCAUUCUCGGUACCUCCAAGGGGACACGAUCUUAAUUUGCGUGCAUUUCCCCAUAAACAUCUUAACAUCAUUGAUCCAUUGAAGGAAAACAACAACCUCGGCCGUAGUGUCAAUAAAGGUAAUUUCUAUCGAAUACGCAGUGCAUUUAAGUAUGGUGCCCGCAAACUUGGCUGGAUUCUUAUGUUACCAGAAGAUAGAAUAGCAGAUGAGCUUAAUAGGUUCUUUGCGAACACUUUGGAUAGGCAUGGAAGCAAUCAAGGGAGUGAAGACAAUUCAAUUUUGUGUUUAUCUAAUGGAUCCAAGGAUACGAUAACUGGAAAUCCACAUAAUUAUGAAAUUAGAAAUGAAAGAGAAAGAUAUGUAGUAAAAGACGCCCCUUCAUUGGUACGGCCAUCAUUUGACUCCUCUGGGGAUGGAAGUGCUGUUGCAACUUACAAACCUAGUGAAGAUUCUAAAGAUGUUGAAGCAUCCGGAGUCUUGGAUAAUUCAAACACUAAUGGUUUGUCAAAUUGUUCAAAUGGGAAAGCUGAAAAUAGGACUAGUAGCAAAACAGAUGUAAAUUCUGUUUUUGAUGAUGAGAAAGAGAAGCAGGGUAUGGUAAGCAAUUCUCCCAGAUCACAUACGGUUGAAAAGAAUAUGGCAUCUAAUGGUUCAACAGUUUUAAGAGAUGCUGCUAAUAUUCUUGAAAAUGAUUUCUUUCAUACUGAUAGAUACAAUACUAGUGUUUCUGGGGGAUCUGAAGCUUCAAAAUCAUUGUUGGACCUUGCUGGGGAUUAUGACAGUCACAUUGCAAACCUACAAUAUGGCCAGAUGUGCAAUGGUUAUCCUGUUUCUCCCGUUGUGGUCCCUAGUCCUCCUAGGUCUCCCAAGUUUCAUAAUAGGAAUCCGUGGGAAACUGUUCGUCAAUGUCUACAGAUGAACCAUGGCAUUCAUCCUCAGACUAACUCAAAUUGUGUUGUGGGACAACUUUACCUCGUAAACCAUCCUACUCUACCAAUGACCUCUUUUGUCGCAGAAGAAAAGAGAAAGCCACGAGGAACAGGCGCAUACUUCCCUAAUAUGAAUUCUCGGCCAUUUAGGGAUAAUAGGCCAAUGCUGGGUAGGGGAAGGGGUCAAGCCCCGGGUACCCAUGGGCAUUUACAGAGAUACACUCAUAACAAUGGGUUCGCUCUAGCUCCACAUGAGUUGAAUUUGUCUCUGGAAGGAAAUUUUGAACCUGCUCUUGAAGGAUAUCCUGCUCUUAGUAAUGGUAGAACCAGAUCUUCAGAAACCUAUUUCUCUCAAUCUCCCACUUGGGGAGCACGCAAUGCUAAUGGUUUCCCUCUCCCGUCUGACAAACACGAGUCUGGCUCUGAGAGCCCUCAGCUUCGUGGAUCCCCAAGAACUGAAGUGAGCAAUCAUCCAGACCCAGGCAUUUCUACUUCCAGGGUAUCUGUGCCUAACACAGGGAUAGUGACAGAGGAGAGCUCUAAUUCAUUGCCUGUAGCGGAUCCCAAAAGGAUUGAAGUGCAAGUAUAUCAUUUGAAGAAUGAAGAUGACUUUCCUCCACUUUGCAACUGAGAGCCAGUGAUGGAUGGGGAUUAUGUUAUAGCACUAACAAUAAUGGUCAAUACAUGGAAAAUAAUAUGACUUGCCUCCCUUACAGCUGGUGCAACCAAAGGAUGGCGAUUUUGUAAGAAUUAAGAAUAUCUUUGGUGGAGUCCAUGUCUAUUCAAAAUUGCCUUGAUGAUGCCCCCGAGAGAAACGUGUAUGGUAGUUUUCAUCAUGUGUAACUUUUUGUUUUGUUAGUAGAUCCUGGCUUGAUUGAACCUAAUGGUAGUGAAAGCAGGAUUGAAAAUGAAAAAAAAAAGCCCAUUCUUUAAUUAUUUGAUAGCUUAGAAGUUGUAUCAUCAUAUAUUACUAAUAAAUAACUUGUGUCAUUGUACAUAAAAACACAGGGACUUACCAAUAGAACUAUUUCCCUGAUUAGAGUUAGAGUGGUAGACAAAAUAAUGGGUUGAUUUUCUUUAUUGUUUUCCUGUUUCACUAUUUUAAAAAAUGUUUUUAUUUACACAUAAAAAGAGAGUUUUGUUCAUUUGAGAGUUAUCUUUUUUGGUAAGAGUUUUAGGGUUAGUCACUUCUACCUUUGUGUCUUUGACAGAAAAGGGUUAGUUAUGCUUUGGUAUCACAAUUGUGUGGUUUAGUUUCUA